UACGUAGGGGGCGAGCGUUGUCCGGAUUUAUUGGGCGUAAAGAGCUCGUAGGCGGUUCGGUAAGUCGGAUGUGAAAUCUCCACGCUCAACGUGGAGGGGCCAUUCGAUACUGCCGUGACUCGAGUCCGGUAGGGGAGUGUGGAAUUCCCGGUGUAGCGGUGAAAUGACGCAGAGAUCGGGAGGAACACCCGUAGCGAAGGCGGCACUCUGGGCCGGUACUGACGCUGAGGAGCGAAAGCGUGGGGGAGCGAACAGG
rnacentral:rRNA from 1 species